CUCUGCAGCCGGUCUGCACACGAUGAUCUGCCCAGGAAACUGUAGGAAGAGGAGAUUAGAACACAGACAUGACCAUGUAAGGACACAGGGAGAAGGCGGCCGUCUGUAAGCCAAGGAGGGAGGCUCAGAAGGAACGAACCCUGCUCACACCUGGAUCCCAGACUUCUAGCUUCCAGGACGGAGAAAAUAAAUGUUGUUGAAGCCGCCUACCCUAUGGUACUUUAUUAUGGAAGCCCUAGCACACUAAUACAUUAAGCAAUUCCUGACUAUGCAGCCAGCUCUACUCCAGGGAAGAGAAGGCUCAGUCUCUCCCUUCAAAGAGAAGAAAUGAAUGCAGACAAUUUCAAAUUUGAAGCUGAUGAGACUUUAACCUGCCAAAAAAUCAGAGUCUUGGACUCAGAAGGUCUUUCAACAGAGUCAUGAAAUCAGUCAUUCUUCAUGUGUGUGUAGUGUGAGCUCUCCUUAAGUGCCACAAAACACAUCCUUGCCCAUAUUGGUCCCCAAGAACCCCAGCGUGGAUGACAGUGCAUCACACAGAUGAAACUGGUAGAGUAUUUUCUGGAUGAAUGAGCAAAUAAGCAGUAAAUGCUGCAAUCUCUCUCUGGUUGAAGUCCUCAAUUCCUCUUGCCUGAACCAUUUCAAUAUCCACCUCAUAAGCCUCCAGGCUCCAAUCUUGUCUCCAUUCCAACCUGCUGCCAGGGUCUUCCUCUCAUGCAAGUGGUUAUGUACAUUUCAUCCAAAUAAAAUUCAAAUUCCUUAAAAUAGCAUAUAGCUCUUUUUGGCUUCCCUGGGCAACAUCAGAAGAAGAAUUGUCUUGGAUCACAUGUAAAAUAUAUUAACACUAACAACGGCUGAUGAGCUAAAAAAAAAAUAGUCACACAAAAAAAUAUCAUAAUAUCUUAAAAAAGUAUUGGGCCACAUGUGGUCUGUGUGCUGUGGGUUGGACAAGCUUGGUCGAAAGCCUUCUAUGGCCUCAGUCUAUCACUCGAGCAGAAACCACCAACACCCACAUGCUUUCCUGUCUGCGUUGGCAGAACUUCACUAUUAAGUUGCCCUCUCUAAUAUGACUUUACUAUUCUAAGAAAUCGUUGCCCAGGAAAUAAAAGUUACUAAUUGUAUUGUUUCAGGAACUUCCCAGAAAAACUAAUUUAAGUGAUUAUCAAACUACUCAACUCUUCAAUAACUAGUAUCAAGGAUUAUUUACUCUCCAAUACACUUCUGAGAACCCUGCCUUAAAACCCUCACCUUGCUGUCUUCACCAAUCCUGAACCAUUAUAUCAUGAUCCUUAAUCCUAUUCAAACUUCUUUCCCCAUUGAAAGACCUGCCAAACCCCCUAAACCUUACAAAUAGCCCAACUUUGUCAUACUCACAGAAAAUACUAUGCAGACUUUGUUGAGAUAGUUGUGUUGCUUACCAUGGGAAGCAGUAAACUCAGCUUUGCCUGACCAGCAGGUUGUUGGGGUGAUGUUUUUGGGGAGUCAGUACUGGACACCUAAGUAAACUUGUUACUUCAUGCUUCCCUCUUCUAGAAGGCAGAAUAAUGGCUGUCCAAAGAUGUCCACAUCUUAAUCUUAGGAACCUGUAAAUAUAUUUCCUUACAUAGCAAGGGGGAAUUAAGGUAGCAGAUAGAUUUAAUGUUGCUAAUCGGCUGACUUUGAAAUGAUGAGAUCAUUGAUACAGCUUGAAUAUAUGUCCCUGUCAAAUCUCAUGUUGAAUUGUAAUCCCCAGUGUUGGAAAUGGGGCCUGGUGGGAGGUGAUUGGGUCAUGGGGGCGGAUCCUUCAUGGCUUGGUGCUGUUGUGAUAAUGAGUGAAUUCUCAGGAGAUCUGGUUUUUAAGUGUGUGGCACCUUCCCCCUACUUGCUCUCUCUUGCCCUCAUUCUCACCAUAUGAGAUGCCUGCUCCAUCUUCUUCCACCCUGAUUGGAAGCUUCCUGAGGCCUCCCCAGAAGCCAACCAGAUACAGUCACUAUGCUUCCUACAUAGCCUGCAGAACCGUGAGCCAAAUAAACCUCUUUUCUUUAUAAAUUACCCAGGCUUAGGUAUUUCUUUAGAGCAAUGCAAGAAUGGCCUAAUACAAUUAUCCUAGAUUCUCCAGGUGGGAACCCAUGUAAACACAAGGAUCUUUACAUGUGGAAGGGGGAAACUGAAAGAGUCAGUGUCAAAUCGAUGAGAUGCAGGAAAGACUCAACCAACCGUUGCUGGCAUUGAAGAUGGAGGAUGGGGCCACAAGCCAAGGAAUGGGCAGCCUUAGAAGCUGAAAAAGGCAAGAAAUGCAUUUCUACCUGGAGCCUCCAGAAAGGAAUGCAACCCUGCCAACACCUAGAUUUUAGCCUGGCAAGAUCUGUAUUAGACCUCUGACCUCCAGAACUGUAAGAUAAUCUUGUGUUGUUUUAACCCAGCAAAUGUCUGUUCAUUUGUUUUGGCAGCAGUAGAAAACCAGCAUAUCUCUCCUUGCUGAUGCUCCUUUCUCCAUCUGAAAUCUCAAUCUGAUCUCACUCUUCUGCCUGUUGAAAUCCUGCCUACCCUUUCAUUUCAAUGGCAGAUCCACCUCCUCCAAGAUACACUUCCCUGAAC
rnacentral:lncRNA from 10 species